UACAGAGGUGGCAAGCGUUGUUCGGAAUACUGGGCGUAAGCGUGCGCAGGCGGCUUGCAAGACAGAUGUGAAAUCCCCGGGCUCAACCCUGGGAACUGCAUUUGUGGCUGCAAGGCUAGAGUACGGUAGAGGGGGAUGGAAUUCCGCGUGUAGCAGUGAAAUGCGUAGAUAUGCGGAGGAACACCGAUGGCGAAGGCAAUCCCCUGGACCUGUACUGACGCUCAUGCACGAAAGCGUGGGGAGCAAACAGG
rnacentral:rRNA from 1 species